rnacentral:rRNA from 1 species
GUGAAAUUGUUGAAAGGGAAGCGCUUGCAACCAGACCUGCCUGCAGUUGCUCAUCCGGGCUUUUGCCCGGCGCACUCUUCUGCUGUCAGGCCAGCAUCGGUUCGGGCGGUCGGAUAAAGGCUUCGGGAAUGUAGCUCCUCUCGAGGAGUGUUAUAGCCCGUUGCGAAAUGCGGCCAGCCUGAACUGAGGUCCGCGCUUCGGCUAGGAUGCUGGCGUAAUGGUUGUAAGCGGCCCGUCUUGAAACACGGACCAAGGAGUCUAACAUCUGUGCGAGUGUUUGGGUGUCAAACCCGUACGCGUAAUGAAAGUGAACGGAGGCGGGAACCCCUCGGGGUGCACCGUCGACCGAUCCUGAUGUCUUCGGAUGGAUUUGAGUAAGAGCAUAGCUGUUGGGACCCGAAAGAUGGUGAACUAUGCCUGAAUAGGGUGAAGCCAGAGGAAACUCUGGUGGAGGCUCGCAGCGGUUCUGACGUGCAAAUCGAUCGUCAAAUUUGGGCAUAGGGGCGAAAGACUAAUCGAACUAUCUAGUAGCUGGUUCCUGCCGAAGUUUCCCUCAGGAUAG